rnacentral:rRNA from 1 species
GACGAGGGAUCCUAGCGUUGUUCGGAAUUAUUGGGCGUAAAGCGGGUGUAGGCGGGCUUAUAAGUCAGGUGUGAAAUCCCAGGGCUCAACCCUGGAAGUGCACUUGAUACUGUAAGUCUUGAAUGUGGUAGAGGUUACUGGAAUUCCUGGUGUAGUGGUGAAAUACGUAGAUAUCAGGAGGAACACCGGAGGCGAAGGCGGGUAACUGGGCCAACAUUGACGCUGAGACCCGAAAGCGUGGGGAUCAAACAGG